CUUGACCUCAAAUCGAGUAGGACUACCCGCUGAACUUAAGCAUAUCAAUAAGCGGAGGAAAAGAAACUAACAAGGAUUCCCCUAGUAACGGCGAGUGAAGAGGGAAGAGCUCAAAUUUUGAAUCUGGCGUCUUUGGCGUCCGAAUUGUAAUCUAGAGAAGUGUUUUCCGUGACGGACCGUGCACAAGUCUCCUGGAAUGGAGCGUCAUAGAGGGUGAGAAUCCCGUAUAUGGCAUGGACUGCCGUUGCUCUGUGAUACACUCUCGACGAGUCGAGUUGUUUGGGAAUGCAGCUCUAA
rnacentral:rRNA from 1 species